UACGGAGGGUGCAAGCGUUAAUCGGAAUUACUGGGCGUAAAGCGCACGCAGAUGGCUGAGUCAGUCGAUUGUGAAAGCCCUGGGCUUAACCUGGGAAUUGCAGUCGAUACUACUCAGCUAGAGUAUGGGAGAGGGCAGUGGAAUUCCCGGUGUAGCGGUGAAAUGCGUAGAUAUCGGGAGGAACAUCAGUGGCGAAGGCGGCUGCCUGGCCCAAUACUGACACUCAGGUGCGACAGCGUGGGGAGCAAACAGG
rnacentral:rRNA from 1 species